GUGUUCACUCGGCAACACAUAUACUAAAAUUGGAACGAUACAGAGAAGAUUAGAAUGGGCCCCUGUGCAAGGAUGACAUGCAAAUUAGUGAAAUGUUCCAUAUAUUU